UACGGAGGGUGCAAGCGUUAAUCGGAAUUACUGGGCGUAAAGCGCACGCAGGCGGUCUGUCAAGUCGGAUGUGAAAUCCCCGGGCUUAACCCGGGAACUGCAUUCGAAACUGGCAGGCUGGAGUCUUGUAGAGGGGGGUAGAAUUCCAGGUGUAGCGGUGAAAUGCGUAGAGAUCGGGAAGAACAUCGGUGGCGAAGGCGCUCUACUGGACCACAACUGACACUCAGGGACGAAAGCUAGGGGAGCGAAUGGG
rnacentral:rRNA from 1 species